rnacentral:rRNA from 1 species
UAUAGAUAAAUAUAGAACUAUAAAUGAUUCUAUUUUAUAAAAUAUAGGGUGUAGUACCAUAUUAUUAGGAUAACUACGGAAAAUCUGUAGCUAAUACUUUGAAAGAAAUAUUUUUUUUCUGGUAUAUGGCUGAUAACUANUAGGAUAACUACGGAAAAUCUGUAGCUAAUACUUUGAAAGAAAUAUUUUUUUUCUGGUAUAUGGCUGAUAACUAUUUAUAGUUGGGAUUAAAUAUAUCAAGAUGAUUAUAUAUAAAUAUAACAUCUUAGAUGAGUAUCUACCCUAUCAACUUUUGAUUGUAGUGUAAAGGACUACAAUGGUGAUAACGGGUAACGGAGGAUUAGGGUCCGACUCCGGAGAGGGAGCCUGAGAAAUGGCUACCACAUCCAAGGAAGGCAGCAGGCGCGUAAAUUACCCAUUCCAGAAAUUGGGAGGUAGUGACAAAAUAUAUAAUCAAUUAUAUUUUAUAAUAUAAAUUGAAUUAAAUGUGUUAAGAUUAAAUAAAUAACGAUAUAAAUAAAGGGCAAGUCUGGUGCCAGCAGCCGCGGUAAUUCCAGCUUUAUUAGUGUAUAUUAAAUUUGUUGCAGUUAAAACGUCCGUAGUCGUAAUAAUAAUUAAAUAAAUAAAUAAUUAAUAAUUUAAAAUUUAGUUUAUAAAUAUAAAUUAAAAUAAAUUAAUUAAUAUAUUUAAAUUAUUAAAAUUAAAAGAAUAUAUAAAUAUAUAUAUAAAUAUAUAUAUAUAUAUAUAAAUUACCUUGAGAAAAUUAGAGUGUUCAAAGCAAGCAUUUUUUAAAUGCAUGAAUAAUUUAGCAUGGAAUAAUAAAAAAAGAUAAUAUUACUUUACUUUAUAUAAAAGUAUAUCAAUGAUAAUAUUAUAAUGAUAAAUAGGGAUGGGUUUAAUAUAUAUAUAUAUANUUACUUUAUAUAAAAGUAUAUCAAUGAUAAUAUUAUAAUGAUAAAUAGGGAUGGGUUUAAUAUAUAUAUAUAUAUUAAUUUAACGGAGUCAUCAGUAUUAUUGGGCGAGCGGUGAAAUGUAUAGACCCUAAUAAGNAUAUAUAUAUAUAUUAAUUUAACGGAGUCAUCAGUAUUAUUGGGCGAGCGGUGAAAUGUAUAGACCCUAAUAAGACUAACAAAAGCGAAAGCAUUUGACUAGUACAUACCCAUUGAUCAAGGACCAUAGUUAUGGGAUCGAAGAUGAUUAGAUACCAUCGUAGUCAUAACCGUAAAUGAUGUCGACUAAUUUCUUGUAUAAAUAUACAAAUAUUAUAUAAAGAAUUAAAGAGAAAUCCAUAAGUGAAUGGAUUCUGGGGGGAAUAUAAUCGCAAGGUUGAAACUUAAAGGAAUUGACGGAAGGGCACCACCAGGAGUGGAGCCUGCGGCUUAAUUUGACUCAACACGGGGAAUUUUACCAGGUCAGGACAUUAAAGGGAUUGACAGUAUUAAUAGAUCUUUCAAGAUCUAAUGGGUGGUGGUGCAUGGCCGUUCUUAGUUGGUGAAUUAUUUUGUCUGGUUAAUUCCGAUAACGAACGAGACCUUAAUAAAUUAUUUUAUAUUAUUACAUGAUAUGUGAUAGUAUUAUAAUAGAAAUAAUUAAACUAUUAAUUUUUUAAUUAAUGGAAGUUUUAGGCAAUAACAGGUCUGUGAUGCCCUUAGAUGUUCUGGGAUGCACGCGCGCUACAUUGACAAUAACAAUAAUUUAAAUAUAUAAUUUAAAUUAUAUAAGAAUAAUUUGAAAAGAUUAUUUAAUAAUAUAGAAAUAUUAUAUUAAUAGAAUAUAUAGUCGUAAAGGGGAUAAUGUAUUGCAAUUAUAUAUUUGAACGAGGAAUUCCUAGUAAAUAUGAUUCAUCAAAUCAUAUUGAUUACGUCCCUGCCCUUUGUACACACCGCCCGUCGCUACUACCGAUGNGUAAAUAUGAUUCAUCAAAUCAUAUUGAUUAC